rnacentral:rRNA from 1 species
CCUACGGGAGGCAGCAGUAGGGAAUCUUCCACAAUGGACGAAAGUCUGAUGGAGCAACGCCGCGUGAGUGAAGAAGGGUUUCGGCUCGUAAAGCUCUGUUGGUAGUGAAGAAAGAUAGAGGUAGUAACUGGCCUUGAGUUGACGGUAAGGACGGAGAAAGUGACGGCUAACUACGUGCCAGCAGCCGCGGUAAUACGUAGGUGGCAAGCGUUGGCCGGAUUUAUUGGGAGUAAAGCGAGGGCAGGCGGUUCAAUAAGUCUGAUGUGAAAGCCUUCGGCUCAACCGGAGAAGUGCCUCCGAAACUUUUGAACUUGAGUGCAGUAUAGGUGAGUGGACCUCCCUGUGUAGCGGUGGAAUGCGUAGAUAUCUGGAAGAACACCAGUUGCGAAGGCGGCUCUCUGGUCUGCAACUGACGCUGAGGCUC